UACGUAGGGUGCGAGCGUUGUCCGGAAUUACUGGGCGUAAAGAGCUCGUAGGUGGUUUGUCGCGUUGUUCGUGAAAACUCACAACUCAAUUGUGGGCGUGCGGGCGAUACGGGCAGACUGGAGUACUGCAGGGGAGACUGGAAUUCCUGGUGUAGCGGUGGAAUGCGCAGAUAUCAGGAGGAACACCGGUGGCGAAGGCGGCAUCCUGGACUGGUCCUGACACUCAUGAGCGAAAGCGUGGGGAGCGAUCCGG
rnacentral:rRNA from 1 species